rnacentral:rRNA from 1 species
AUGAAGAAAGCAAGGCG